UUACAGCCAUAUCAUGCUGAGACACUGAUUCCCGUAUGAUCACCGAAGUUAAGCAAUGUCGAGCCUGGUCAGUACAUACAUGGGUAUCCGCUUGAUAAUAGUAGGUGUUGAAA